AUCCCUUUGUGGUUUCUAAGUAUGAUGACUGGGUUUUCAUAUCACUGUUUGAGACUGCUUCUUCCAAACCUUGUUACAGUGUUGGUGAAUUGCUUGCCUGCUG